rnacentral:rRNA from 1 species
AGCGAACGCUGGCGGUAUGCUUAACACAUGCAAGUCGAGCGCGAAAGUGACUUCGGUCAUAAGUAGAGCGGCGGACGGGUGAGUAACACGUGGAUAAUCUGCCUUUAGGACUGGGAUAACCCUGGGAAACUAGGGCUAAUACCGGAUAAGACCACAGGUUCCAUGGAACCAGGGGUAAAAGGCGGCCUUCGGGCUGUCGCCGAAAGAUGAGUCCGCGUCCCAUCAGGUAGUUGGUGAGGAACGGCUCACCAAGCCGAAGACGGGUAGCCGACCUUAGCGGGUGAUCGGCCACACGGGGACUGAGACACGGCCCCGACUCCUACGGGAGGCAGCAGUGGGGAAUCUUGGGCAAUGGGCGCAAGCCUGACCCAGCAAUACCGCGUGAGGGAUGAAGGCCUUC